GGUAAGGUAACGGCUUACCAAGGCGACGAUCAGUAGCCGACCUGAGAGGGUGAUCGGCCACAUUGGAACUGAGACACGGUCCAAACUCCUACGGGAGGCAGCAGUGGGGAAUAUUGCACAAUGGGCGAAAGCCUGAUGCAGCAACGCCGCGUGAGUGAUGAAGGCCUUCGGGUCGUAAAACUCUGUCCUCAAGGAAGAUAAUGACGGUACUUGAGGAGGAAGCCCCGGCUAACUACGUGCCAGCAGCCGCGGUAAUACGUAGGGGGCUAGCGUUAUCCGGAUUUACUGGGCGUAAAGGGUGCGUAGGCGGUCUUUCAAGUCAGGAGUGAAAGGCUACGGCUCAACCGUAGUAAGCUCUUGAAACUGGGAGACUUGAGUGCAGGAGAGGAGAGUGGAAUUCCUAGUGUAGCGGUGAAAUGCGUAGAUAUUAGGAGGAACACCAGUUGCGAAGGCGGCUCUCUGGACUGUAACUGACGCUGAGGCACGAAAGCGUGGGGAGCAAACAGGAUUAGAUACCCUGGUAGUCCACGCUGUAAACGAUGAGUAC
rnacentral:rRNA from 1 species